rnacentral:rRNA from 1 species
UUUUGCAUYAUGCUGAUUAGAGUAUAUAAGUAAUACUUAGGAACCGAAAAGACUAGAUUUUCAUAAUAGUUGCACAGGUGGGUGUGUAAACCAGGUAGGUAAUGUAAACUGUUAUGACGUUGUGAUAAAUUAGUCGUUAGUCUUUAUAGCUGUUUUACGUUAAAAUUUUCUUUUUACCCUGUGGGCUAUGAGGUCCACAGGGCAUAUAUACAUUAUAUUUUUAUAAAUUUAAAGGGGUUAAAGUUACCCAUUUAUUAUGUGUUUGUUAAAAGGCUAUUUUUUAUUGAUAGAUGUUAUAUAGAGUUAACGUGUAAAUUUUACUGAUAGUUUUAUUAAUUAAUCGAUAAGUAAUAUGAAUAAUAAUAUUGUUUCUCAGACAUAGCCCGUCUGUUUAUUAAAAACAUUUCCAUAUGAAAUAAUUUAUGGUAUGACCUGCUCUAUGUAUUUUAUAAAUGGCCGCAGUAUUUUGACUGUGCGAAGGUAGCAUAAUUAAUUGCCCCUUAAUUGGGGGCUUGUUUGAAUGGUUUGACGUGGUUAUUUGUUAACAUUAUUUUUUUUAUUGAAAUUAAUAUUGAGGGCACAGAAUCCUCAAGGUUUAAUUAGACGGAAAGACCCCGGGAUCUUUCUUUUUUGCCUGGGGCAGGUUAAAUAUUUUUAUAUUUAUUAUGACCCUCUUACUAGUAAGAGGUUAGUGGUUUAAGUUACCCCGGGGAUAACAGUGUAAUAUUUUAUUAGAGAUCCUAUCGAAUAAAUUGUUUGCUACCUCGAUGUUGACUUAGGUUUAUACCUGGGCGCAGCAGUUCAGGUAUUGGUCUGUUCGACCUUAAUUACCUCCAUGAGUUGAGUUAAGACCGGCGUGAGCCAGGUCGGUUCUUAUCUAUU